AGUUCUCACAUGUCCUCUAAUGUUAAGUUUCCUUUGUAAUAGAUGGGAGACACAAUCCUCCUGUGUCCUCUGUAAAGACACCUUCCAGUUUUGUCCUCAUCUCCUUCCUCAAUGGGUGGAUCAGUUUACAGCAUCUAAGACAUGCCAAAGACUGCAGCACCAACUGAACUGUCUAACACCAUUAGACCUCAUAGAGACACAUUUUACUUCCUGGCUGUCCGAGUCAUCUUUAAAGCACAGGAUGAGAAAACACCUGCUGGUCUUUGCCUCACUUUUUCUCUGACUCUGAGAUUCUGGAUCAGCUCAUACCGAACAAGACAUCAUGCCACCACAGAGCAGAUGUUGGAGCACUAUCUUAACUGUCAGUGGACACCUCACGGCUGGACCACAGAGACACGUGUUCUCUCUGUCAGUUUCGAGUUUUUUUCACAACAGAUAAUAAGCUCCUUCUCCUCUGUGAUUUCUCCACUUCACAAUGAAGACACUCAGGACUGCAGAAAGGGCUAAACACACAAAUGAAGAUCAUGCAGCGUAUUCAGUUGCACUGGCGAUACAAGUUGUUCUGCCCUGCAGCCCGAGUUCAAGGACCAGCAUUGUCCUCCUACCCCCCUGUCUCCAUUUGUGCAUCCAUUGGUGCCCACUGGUCCGUUCAGCAGAGACUAACAGUUGGUUCUUAAG